rnacentral:lncRNA from 1 species
AUUACAAAUUACAAAUGCAAACUAAAGUGAAUUUAGGCAGAUUAAUCAGAUUGAUUUAGGCAGAUUAAUCAGUUUGUUUUUCUGCUCCAGUUUUCAAACUGCCUCAUCUUUGUUCUGUGACGAAAAAAAAAACCUGUUAUAUUUGCUCUGUCACAACUACAUGUGGAGUAGAGAGUCUUGUCAACGUUUUCCAAAAUCAAGUGAGUAGAAAUGCUUGGAGAAAUAUUUUCAGGUCUCAAGGGGUGUGCUGAGAGACGCAGGGGAUUCCAUCCAACUUGGUGACAGUACCCUGAUCCAAUGGCCUAAUUACGAGCGUUAAUCAUCAGGCUAAGUUUGAGGCACCUUUCACAAAGACUGUAGCGCCUCCUCAGUCUUCCAAGUCAAGAUAACAGAGUCCAAACUUUGAAAACCAUCCAGUUACCAUGGAGACGGUCCUGCUCCCGGACCAGUGGAGUAUGCCCAUCCUCAAGCCUCCAGACACCGCCGCGGGCCGCUGCCCUCAAAGAACCCACCACAGGCUGACAGGAAAUACUGUGCCAUGCACUUUCUUCCUCAUACUGUUUCAUCACCCUCCUAAAACUCGGAGGUUGGUAUGAUUAUUUUCCACAUCCUACAAGGGAAGACACUAAGACUAACUAGUUAAAUAUUCUGUCCCAAAUCAGUCAGUACGAGACAGGGCGGGGCUCGAGCCCUGGAAUCUCGAACCCCUGGUUCCUGGGGCGCCCCUCGGACGCGGGGUCCCAGGCGUGGGCUCUGCUCCGCUUGCCUCGCCACACGAAGGCCCUUCCACCCCGUCACGGACUCCAGGCUUCUUUGCGGGCCGGGACCGAGGGCCCGCGCCUGUGGUCGGGUCGCAAGACCCCGGCCGCCGCCAUCCCCGGCCGAGGCCGCCGCCCCGCCCCCGCUGGCUGCAGGCCCGGCGCCCGCCCCCCCGGGGUUUUCGCUUUCGCUUUCCCGCCGAUGUCGUUGAGGGAAACAGCGCAGCGGGGCCAGCUCAGGCGCAGCUGCCGUUCCCGGCGGGCGAGGGGCGCAGAGGGCGGCGGCGGCGGCGGCGGCGGCGGCGGCCGAGGAGACCGGGCCGGGCCCGGCGCGCGGCGAGGUGCCAGAGUUUGCAGCCUGUUGGGGAAAACCAACAUCAAGGACCAGUGCUUUGAAUGGACUACAGCCCAAUGGGUCUGUCCCAGUGCUGCUCCUUUACUGAGACAGCACUGCGGAGUGCCACCCUGCUUGCUAUGCACAGCUGCUCUGUGGAUUGAAGAUGAAGAUUCGGUGGAGUGAAGGACUGGAGGACUCCUGUGACAUUUUACUGCAGGCAGGGAAGCCCUACCUGCGGAGCUCCCAGGCACUUGGGAAGACUGGUUGAUUGGAUGAUGAAUCCUGGUUGUAGUCCCUGUGAUGAACACCUCUGCUGUCAGACAUCACUGGCUGCCUUCUGUGUGCUCAACUUAGAACCGAGCCCAUUCUUCAGCGGCCGGAGGAUAUCCUGUGGAGCAGUGCAGCGCCCGGCCUCCCAUCCUGUGUGAACUGCAAGGCAGCGGCUGUGGCCCUGAGGCCCUCUUCUCUCCCAGGCCAGGCUGCGCCUCCUGCUCACAGUUCUACUUUUCCUAAGCCAAACUGGAGGCCAGGGCACCGAGAACGUCGAGAUGGCAUAUUUCCAGAGUGUGGAGGAGACAGACUGUACCGCAGGAGCCUGGAGCCAGGCCCCAAAGGUUCUGCUGGCUGUCCCAGGGGCCUGCCCUUACGACAGCCCACCCGGGACAUCUCGGAGCUUGUAUCUCUGCUCAUCAGAAGUUGGAGGAGUGGGUUCGAGGGGGCAGCUGUUUCCUAUAAAAAUGUCCAGUAGAGGUAAUGUCCUUGGGACAAACUCUUUUUUUUUCUAUACUGGGGAUGGAACAUACAGCCUUCACUCUGAACUGUAUCCUCAGCUCCCUUUAAAAAAAAAAAUUAUUUUGAGAAAGGGUUUUGAUAAGUGCUAAAUUGCCCAGGGUGGGCUCCAACUUGCAGUGCUGGCCUCCCAAAGUACAGGGAUUACUGCUGGACACGAUGCCCGGUUGGUCAUCCUUUUUUUUGGGGGGGAGGGUACCGGGGAUUGUACUCCAGACCUUGUGCUUUCGAGGCAGGCGCCGGAACCACUGAGCUAAAUCCCCGGCCCUGGUUGGUCAUCCUUUUUGACACCCAAGCUAAGGAGGCUCAUUCUGUGCCUGAGGCUCCAGUGUCUCGCAUUCUGCCCGCUGGAAUACGGUCUCUCAGAGGGGCUGUGGAGCCUCGUGUGGUCGACUCCAACCAAGGUGCAGGCAUUUGGGGAGCGUCGUCCCCAGGUAAUUCCUGUGUGUCCAUUUCCUGUUACUGAGACAAAUUACUAUAAACUUGGUGUCUUAGAAAAACACACAUCUAUUUUCUUAAAGUUCUGAGGGCCAGAAAUCCAAAAUAAGUCUCAGUGGGCUAAACUCAAGGUGUCAGCGGGAAUGUGUUAAUCUCCACCGAGGCUCUGUGCCUGUCCCAGGGUCAAGAGGCUCCACGCGUUCUGCCCUGUGGCUCCUUCCUCUGACUUCAAGUCCAGCAGUGGCUGGUCAGGACUUCCACAUAAUGCCAUCUCUCAGAUUCUACCUCUCCUGCCUCCCUCUUCCCUGUUUAAGGAGCCCAGUGAUUACAUUGGGCCCCCCAGACAAUUUCUCUGUUUCCCACUUCCAGCAACCUUAAUUCUCCAUUGCCACGUAUCAUGGCGCAUCCACAGGUCCCACCCACUUGGACGUGGACAUCUUUAUUCCACCAUGGACCGUUAUUUUGCACACCCAGCCAACCUCUCCUGUGGCUUUUCCAAGGGUCUCAUCCUCAGGCAUAGACAGUGGGCUGGGCCAGACCAGUCGGGAUGUGCCCACCACUGGCAGAGAGGUCCUUUCUGCCCAGACACCCUCCCUGCUUUAGCUCACCUCCUCUUCUCUCAUCCUCUGCUCCCCCUCUGGCGUAGAGGGAAGCUGGUGAGGCUAGAUGCGCCGCGGGAGCCCAGGGAGCUGAGCCCUCCCCGGCCAGACAGCCUGUCUUCCAGGGGCUGGAGCCAGAGCCCAGCCUUUGCGGUCGCGGACUCACAGUCUGAGGGCAGUUGCAGGGUCGGAGGGGCAGGCAGGCACAUAUCGGAGACACACGUAUCCCCUGUGCCUCUCGGCCUCCCUUCCUCAGGUGACAACAGCCUGUCUACCCUCCGGCACUCGGUGGUCCUUUUUGGGGCUGGGACCUUGAGAGGCUCCCAAGGAGGGGAGGCCCCCAUCAAAUCUGUCCCUGGGUACUGGUGAGGACCUGGGGGAUCCAGGACCCCAGCAAGAGGUCUCAUCAGCACAGCAGAGCAAAGCAGGAGGAGCUGGACAGGGCCUUCGGUCUUCAAGUAUGGUGACCAGUUGGGCUUGGUUUGCCUAAGACUUUCCCACUUUGAGCAGUGGGGGUCCAAGCCCUGGAACUCGGUCAGAGCAAACCGAGACAGCUGGUCACCCUGUCUCCAGGGCCUUUAUCACAUUCUCUUCCGCUCUGGGUCAUCUCCGCUGCUACACAGCCAGCUCUUUGGACUCCUGGAUACUAGAAAGACCUGGGGGCUGAGGAAGGACCCCAGGCCCACGCCAGAAAGGAGCAGGCUCUUGCCCCAGCAAGCCCGGCAGAGGAGCCAUCAACAGUGAAGACCAAGCUGGUGUCUGCGGGGCACAGAGCUCCCAGGAGCAGUGUGCGUAAGACGGUGAAAAGGAAACCUCUAAACACUUAGCAGCCUGGUCACUUCUGAGUGGUGGAUUGCAGGUGGCUUUCAUAAAUACUUUGAGUUCCCCCUCUGUAUUUCUUCCUCUCUGUACAAGUAAGCCAUGUUCUUUCUGUAUGUUUUUAAUAAAAGAAAGCCAGUGGUGACUCAGCCAUCCAUCUCCAGUCCUGCUGAGGGACACGAGCAGUUGUGCUGGCACCUGUGACCUUGGCUGUGGGCUGGUCAUGGCCCCAUUCUGCCCGAAGCUCUACUGCAAGGGCAGGGAAGCUACUCCUCCGUGUCCUUCGGCCCCACAGUGCACCCAGGGUCCAGCCUGGCUUGUUCCCUGAGUGAAGACUCAAAAGCCUGAUGUGCUCUCUCUUGGCAGAGCAGGGGUGCAGGUGCUGAGGACACACAGGAUGUGGCUGGCCAUUGGGAGAUGCUCUUGAGCACCACUCUGGACUGAGAAUGAUGGGGAGAGGAGCUCUUGCCUCCAGGCAGCUGGCACCUGGUUGGAGAGCUCGGGUUACCCCACAGACCAUGUGGCGCAUGGUGGACUGGAUGAGGCCUUGCCUGUGAGGAUUGUCCGAGGUCGCAUAGGGGAGACCCAGGAGCCUCACUGCACUUGUCUUAGAAUGGCCAGAGGCCAAAACAGGUUUUCUUGAGUGACCUGAGGCAGCCCCCCAAGCUCGGGGUAAAUGGUCUCCCCCUCCCAGAACUCGCUGCUGGACACUUUGUGACAGAAGAGUGGCAAGAACAGUCAGCAAGAUGUUCCACUCUUAGACAGCUGGGCACCCUUGGGCCCUCCUCCUUGCCCUCUCCCCUCGUAUUCUUUGGGAGUGCCAGGCUCUAGACUUCCUCUGGCUGCCUCCGUCUGGUCUCCUGAUACCAAGCAGUUCUCUCCACCCCAAGCCCAGCAAGAGCACUUGGAAGGGAGCCCUGGGUCUCCAGUAGAGGCAGCCACCCCUCCACCUCCUACAUACAGGGCCAGCAUUCCCCACCCUAGUCCACCCUAGUCCACCAUUGUCCUGGUGAGGCCAACAUGUGACCUUGUUCAUUGUUUUGGAAAAGUAGUAAGUGUUCUGGCCUAAUGAUCCCUCCCUAUUGAACCCAGAACCCAAGCACAACUCCAUGUUCACACAACUCCCUUGACCCAGGAAGUCAGCUUUCUCAGAGAAGCCUGGCAUGUGCUUCCCCCUCCUUGCCACACCCUCGCCCCUAAGCCAAGAUCCUGCUCUAUCCCUUCUCCCUAAGCAAAGCUGCAGCUGAGUGUUUUUACUACUUUCUUUUUUUUUUUUGGUGCUGGGGAUCGAACUUGGGUCCUUGCGCUUGCACAGCAAGUGGCAAAACCACUGAGUUAAAUCCCCAGCCCCUAAACUGAGUGUUUUUAAGUGCUAGGGAAGACCUUGCUAGUCCUGCCUCAAUUCUGGGCAGAUUUGGGAAUCUGAACGUGUGAGGGAAAAGUGAUAGCAGAAUUGGACACUCCCCACAUCCAUGUGGUUUUUAAGGGAAAGAGGACAGUAGGAACGGAGACAGGGAUUCAGGCCAGUUCAGGAUUCGGCCACACAAAGUAGUGAGGGCCCCAACCUGGCGACCUCUUGGCUGGCUAUGGAGGCUGGGCAGGCCUCCCCUGAAGGGAAGGUAGUAGUGAGCUCUGGUGUCUACCUGGUGUGGCAACUAGCAUCUGCCUUGGGUGCUGCAGUUUCUCAGGAAUUAGACCCACUAGAGGCACAGGGCCUGAGCCCGGCCCAAGGCUAGGAGUUAGGAUGCACCUCUGAGUGGUCCAGACCUCUGAGGGACCCCAGAGGCCAAAACCGUCUGGCCUAGGGCAGAAGAGCUGGCUUCGCAGACAGAAUUGUGUCUAAAAAGUCCCCUUUGACCCCUAGAGCUGAGACCUACCAGGCCAGAGUCCCCUAGAGAAAACGGACUGUGUAGCUAAGCUGCUCCCUGCUCUGAGGCCAAGUAUCAAGCCUGUCAGGUCACAGCCCUGGCCUUGGCCUUCAGAACUGCAUGCAGGUGGCCUCCCGGGUAGAGGUGGGGAAUCACUUCUCUUGGGGCCCAAGCCAAACUCCACCACACUGGGGCCCUGGGGCCUGUGGCGGCAGAGCCAUAUUGUCUGAAGUACCAGGAGGGGCCAGGGGCGCUGAUGCCAAGGCGACACAGCAGCUGAACCUUUGCUGUCUUCCGUCAAGGUCUCCAGAUGCCUUCUUGUCAUAGGUUCCUAGUGCCCUGUCCCUUGCCGGCACUCCCCAAAUUCCCCCCCCAGGCUUCAGUUUCUUCCUUUGUAGGCAGCCUGAUCUUGUAGAACCCACCUGUGUUCUGGGCAUGGACAGGUGUGGGUUGGAAUCCAGCUGAGUCACCCGUCGUGGGCAAGCCCCUUGUGCGUGCUGAGCAUGGUUUCCUGGUCUGUGAAUGAGGCUGGGGGUGGGGAGCUGUGCCUGAGUGACAGUGCAAAGGGGAGCUUGGCACAGUCCCUGGUCCCAAGGGAACACUCGGGUCUGUUUCAGUAUCCAAGCAGAUCUGAGGUCUGCUCUAGUUCUGCUCCUUUCCAAGCUGCAGACUGCACUGAGCCCGCAGAAGUGGGGGCUUCUUCUGCAACUGCCCCCCCACCACCAGAAAAGCAGCAGAAAUGGACCUUUGGGAGCCGCCUGGAGCCAGGAAAACCACAGCCAACCAGCUAGGUCUUCCUCAGACUCGACCCCACAAGGGAGCUCUGGCCGGCGAAGCCGCCUUCCACCCUGCCACGUACCUUCACCUCUGGAAAAGGAGCACACCAGCGCCCCAGGCUCUGGUUUCUGUAAGAGCUGGUGAAAGUGGGGAGAGACCAGUGCUGAGUUCAGAUGGAUUUUACACAUCUUCCGUGUGGAGAGUGAGUGGUUGCCUCAGUUAAGACACAGCAUCACGUAGGUCAGACGAAAGUUCCUUGUUGGAUGCUUCAGCAGGGCUGUGUGGAGGAAACUCCGACCCCAUGCAAGAGUGGAGUUUUGGGUCUGGGCCAACAGUGAGAAAGACGGCCCACUGGUCGCAGAGAAUGACAACUUGGGCAUGACCCAGCUCCAUGGACUAGGUGGCAUCACUCCCAGAGAAAAGGGCUCCACCUGCAACCAAGCUCAAGGCUUUUCCCAGGAUUUCAGCUGGGCCCUGGGCAUACCCCACUGGAGGCUUCCAGAGACCGGGAGCAAGCUCUUAUGUGUGGAGGCAGGGUGACCACAACACCCUAUACACGUGCAUGGAGAGAUGCUGAAAGCUGAUACUCUAAGAAGGGAUGAUUUUCACAUUAGCCUUCAGCUUUCAUCCUACUGCAAGUAGCUGAAUAAAUAAACCAACCCGAUUAAAGUAACACCUUUGGAAUAAAACAAGGAAACUCCUCUGGCUGAUGAGAAAUGCCCUCCAGUGUCUGUAAACUUGGUUCAUCAUGGGUGUGCCUGAGACUAGCUGGUGUACCUGAAAUCCCCCUUUGAUACUUUACCCCAUUGCAAAGUGGCCCUCAAUGACCAUAAUGUCACAGUAAUCCCAACAAAGCUCAUCUUUCAAUGACCUCCUAGCUCCUUCAACCAAGAACUUCCAUUCUGAGUGCUUAGAUUGAAAAUCUUGGGAAUUACCUACCCUUAGGAAGCACUGACAAGUCCUGAAUGAUCUUAAACUUUUAGGCCCAAAUUUGGUUCAGAUUAUACUGAGGCUGAUCCUUUCCAGACUCUGUUUGCUAAUGAGAUAGUCCCAGCUGCCAUCACCUUUAGGUCUGACUUCUAGGCCUGGGCCGAGGUUCACAGUGAGAUGUGAUGCGACAGCUCCCUAUCCUGUUAGGUCGGUCCCUAUCACACAUGCUCUUCCCUGGAGCCCAGCUGCCUUGCAAUUUUGGGUGCAGAGUUUUAGGUUCCUUCUCUGGACAUUCCAAU